rnacentral:rRNA from 1 species
AGUGAACGCUGGCGGUAGGCCUAACACAUGCAAGUCGAACGGCAGCACAGUAAGAGCUUGCUCUUACGGGUGGCGAGUGGCGGACGGGUGAGGAAUACAUCGGAAUCUACUUUUUCGUGGGGGAUAACGUAGGGAAACUUACGCUAAUACCGCAUACGACCUACGGGUGAAAGCAGGGGAUCUUCGGACCUUGCGCGAUUGAAUGAGCCGAUGUCGGAUUAGCUAGUUGGCGGGGUAAAGGCCCACCAAGGCGACGAUCCGUAGCUGGUCUGAGAGGAUGAUCCGGCACACGGGAACUGAGACACGGGCCAGACCCCUGCGGGGGGCAAGAGGGGGGAAUUUUGGACAAUGGGGGAAAGCCUGGUCCCACCAUACCGGGUGGGGGAAGAAGGCCUUCGGGGUGUAAAGCCCUUUUUGUGGGAAAAAAAAGGAGCAGGUUAAUACCCCGGUGUUCCGGCGGUACCCAAAGAAAAAGCCCCGGCUAACCUCG